rnacentral:rRNA from 1 species
CCUACGGGAGGCAGCAGUGGGGGAUAUUGCACAAUGGGGGAAACCCUGAUGCAGCGACGCCGCGUGUGGGAAGACGGUCCUCUGGAUUGUAAACCACUGUCCCCAGGGACGAAGUUGACGGUACCUGGGGAGGAAGCUCCGGCUAACUACGUGCCAGCAGGCCCGGUACUACGUAGGGAGCGAGCGUUGACCGGAAUUACUGGGUGUAACGGGAUCGUAGGCGGGGAUGCAAGUUGGGUGUAAAAACUAGCGGCUCAACUGGUAGUCGCACUUGAAACUGCAGCUCUUGAGUGAAGUAGAGGUAAGCGGAAUUCCUAGUGUAGCGGGGAAAUGCGUAGAUAUUAGGAGGAACACCAGUGGCGAAGGCGGCCUGCUGGGCUUUUACUGACGCUGAGGCUCGAAAGUGUGGGGAGCAAACAGGAUUAGAUACCCUUGUAGUC